GAUGAAGAACGUAGCAAAAUGCGAUAAGUAAUGUGAAUUGCAGAAUUCAGUGAAUCAUCGAAUCUUUGAACGCACAUUGCGCCCGCCAGUAUUCUGGCGGGCAUGCCUGUUCGAGCGUCAUUUCAACCCUCAAGCCCUCGGGUUUGGUGUUGGGGAUCGGCGAGCCUUUCUGGCAAGCCGGCCCCGAAAUCUAGUGGCGGUCUCGCUGCAGCCUCCAUUGCGUAGUAGUAAGACCCUCGCAACUGGAACGCGGCGCGGCCAAGCCGUUAAACCCCCAACUUCUGAAUGUUGACCUCGGAUCAGGUAGGAAUACCCGCUGAACUUAAGCAUAUCAAUAAGCGGAGGA
rnacentral:misc_RNA from 1 species